GACGAACGCUGGCGGCACGCUUAACACAUGCAAGUCGAACGGAGGUAUUUUGGUUUACUGAGAUACCUUAGUGGCGGACGGGUGAGUAACACGUGAGCAACCUACCUUAGAGAGAGGGAUAGCUUCUGGAAACGGAUGGUAAUACCUCAUGACAUAACUGGAAGGCAUCUUUUGGUUAUCAAAGAUUUAUCACUCUGAGAUGGGCUCGCGUCUGAUUAGCUAGAUGGUGAGGUAACGGCCCACCAUGGCGACGAUCAGUAGCCGGACUGAGAGGUUGAACGGCCACAUUGGGACUGAGACACGGCCCAGACUCCUACGGGAGGCAGCAGUGGGGGAUAUUGCACAAUGGGGGAAACCCUGAUGCAGCGACGCCGCGUGAGUGAAGAAGUAUUUCGGUAUGUAAAGCUCUAUCAGCAGGGAAGAAAAUGACGGUACCUGACUAAGAAGCUCCGGCUAAAUACGUGCCAGCAGCCGCGGUAAUACGUAUGGAGCAAGCGUUAUCCGGAUUUACUGGGUGUAAAGGGAGCGUAGACGGUGUGCCAAGUCUGAUGUGAAAGGUGUGGGCUCAACCCGCAAACUGCAUUGGAAACUGGUGUACUUGAGUGUCGGAGAGGUAAGUGGAAUUCCUAGUGUAGCGGUGAAAUGCGUAGAUAUUAGGAGGAACACCAGCGGCGAAGGCGGCUUACUGGACGAUAACUGACGUUGAGGCUCGAAAGCGUGGGGAGCAAACA
rnacentral:rRNA from 1 species